UGGGGAAUCUUGGACAAUGGGCGAAAGCCUGAUCCAGCCAUGCCGCGUGAGUGACGAAGGUCUUCGGAUUGUAAAGCUCUUUUUGGCGGGGACGAUAAUGACGGUACCCGCAGAAUAAGCCCCGGCUAACUUCGUGCCAGCAGCCGCGGUAAUACGAAGGGGGCUAGCGUUGUUCGGAAUUACUGGGCGUAAAGCGCACGUAGGCGGAUUUGUAAGUCAGGGGUGAAAUCCCGGGGCUCAACCUCGGAACUGCCCUUGAUACUGCAAAUCUCGAGUCCGAUAGAGGUGAGUGGAAUUCCUAGUGUAGAGGUGAAAUUCGUAGAUAUUAGGAAGAACACCAGUGGCGAAGGCGGCUCACUGGAUCGGUACUGACGCUGAGGUGCGAAAGCGUGGGGAGCAAACAGGAUUAGAUACCCGCGUAGUCCCUGAGCGGGCUGGCAAGGCGCAU
rnacentral:rRNA from 1 species